GCAAGUCGGACGGUAGCACAGAGGAGCUUGCUCCUCGGGUGACGAGUGGCGGACGGGUGAGUAAUGUCUGGGGAUCUGCCCGAUAGAGGGGGAUAACCACUGGAAACGGUGGCUAAUACCGCAUAACGUCGCAAGACCAAAGAGGGGGACCUUCGGGCCUCUCACUAUCGGAUGAACCCAGAUGGGAUUAGCUAGUAGGCGGGGUAACGGCCCACCUAGGCGACUAUCCCUAGCUGGUCUGAGAGGAUGACCAGCCACACUGGAACUGACACACGGUCCAGACUCCUACGGGAGGCAGCAGUGGGGAAUAUUGCACAAUGGGCGCAAGCCUGAUGCACCCAUGCCGCGUGUAUGAAGAAGGCCUUCGGGUUGUAAAGUACUUUCAGCGGGGAGGAAGGCAGUGAGGUUAAUAACCUUGCUGAUUGACGUUACCCGCAGAAGAAGCACCGGCUAACUCCGUGCCAGCAGCCGCGGUAAUACAGAGGGUGCAAGCGUUAAUCGGAUUCACUGGGCGUAAAGCGCACGCAGGCGGUCUGUUAAGUCAGAUGUGAAAUCCCCGGGCUUAACCUGGGAACUGCAUUUGAAACUGGCAGGCUUGAGUCUCGUAGAGGGGGGUAGAAUUCCAGGUGUAGCGGUGAAAUGCGUAGAGAUCUGGAGGAAUACCGGUGGCGAAGGCGGCCCCCUGGACGAAGACUGACGCUCAGGUGCGAAAGCGUGGGGAGCAAACAGGAUUAGAUACCCUGGUAGUCCACGCCGUAAACGAUGUCGACUUGGAGGUUGUUCCCUUGAGGAGUGGCUUCCGGAGCUAACGCGUUAAGUCGACCGCCUGGGGAGUACGGCCGCAAGGUUAAAACUCAAAUGAAUUGACGGGGGCCCGCACAAGCGGUGGAGCAUGUGGUUUAAUUCGAUGCAACGCGAAGAACCUUACCUACUCUUGACAUCCACGGAAUUCGGCAGAGAUGCCUUAGUGCCUUCGGGAACCGUGAGACAGGUGCUGCAUGGCUGUCGUCAGCUCGUGUUGUGAAAUGUUGGGUUAAGUCCCGCAACGAGCGCAACCCUUAUCCUUUGUUGCCAGCGAUUCGGUCGGGAACUCAAAGGAGACUGCCGGUGAUAAACCGGAGGAAGGUGGGGAUGACGUCAAGUCAUCAUGGCCCUUACGAGUAGGGCUACACACGUGCUACAAUGGCGCAUACAAAGAGAAGCGACCUCGCGAGAGCAAGCGGACCUCAUAAAGUGCGUCGUAGUCCGGAUCGGAGUCUGCAACUCGACUCCGUGAAGUCGGAAUCGCUAGUAAUCGUGGAUCAGAAUGCCACGGUGAAUACGUUCCCGGGCCUUGUACACACCGCCCGUCACACCAUGGGAGUGGGUUGCAAAAGAAGUAGGUAGCUUAACCUCCGGGAGGGCGCU
rnacentral:rRNA from 1 species